AUGUUUUGGUUUUCUCAUGGAGCAGAUAUGACACGAAGUAAACUUCAUGUUGUUGAAUGCAAUGAUGAAUACAUGGCGGAGGAACAUAUUGAACAUGAGAAUGCCAUGCCUAAAGAUGCUGAUUCAUCUCAUGUUCAACCAUCAUCUUGUAAUAGCGAAGAAGGCUUGACUGAUAGUGAAGAUGAAGAGGACCAGGAUGACAGUGCUGCUAAUGAACAAGAUGAAGAUGGAGAAACAACCAAGCGUGGCAGGACAAGGCUAAAAGAAAUAUGGAAUCUUCCAAAAGGGCAGAGAAUUGUGGUCCAGUGCAAUGAACUAAACCAGCCAAUUGGAACAGAAGCUGGACGUCUUGCGAAUUUUCUUGGCACGGUUGCUAGGAAUGGAAAAUUGUGUAGUUUGAGCUACAAGGACUGGAGAAAACUAAUAGGAGAGAGAGAAAAAAGACCAAUGAACAAAGAAACAAAAGUGAUAUACUAG
rnacentral:rRNA from 1 species